rnacentral:rRNA from 1 species
CACGUAGGGUGCGAGCGUUGUCCGGAAUUAUUGGGCGUAAAGAGCUCGUAGGCGGUUCGUCGCGUCGGCUGUGAAAUCCCGAGGCUCAACCUCGGGUCUGCAGUCGAUACGGGCGGACUGGAGUUCGGCAGGGGAGACUGGAAUUCCUGGUGUAGCGGUGAAAUGCGCAGAUAUCAGGAGGAACACCGGUGGCGAAGGCGGGUCUCUGGGCCGUAACUGACGCUGAGGAGCGAAAGCGUGGGGAGCGAACAGG